UACAGAGGGUGCAAGCGUUGUUCGGAAUCAUUGGGCGUAAAGGGCGUGUAGGCGGUUUGUUAAGUCAUGUGUGAAAUCCCUCGGCUCAACCGGGGAACGACGCAUGAAACUGGCAAGCUAGAGUACCAAAGAGGGGGGUGGAAUUCCCGGUGUAGCGGUGAAAUGCGUAGAGAUGUGGAGGAACACCGAUGGCGAAGGCAGCCCCCUGGGUUAACACUGACGCUCAGGCACGAAAGCGUGGGGAGCAAACAGG
rnacentral:rRNA from 1 species